rnacentral:lncRNA from 1 species
UUACCAAUAUAUUUGCAAACGCUAUCCAAAACUUGACAAAGAAAAGCCGAAUGCUUUAGUUUCCGGACUUAGUACUACAAAACCAUAGAUUGUCUUUAAUGGCUUGUAAAUGUACCUAAGUAGUCUCAUCCUCACAAUCUUCCUAUUGAUAAUGUAUCAUUAGAAGAAUAUGUUAGAAAAGUCUAUCGUAAAGAGGACAACAAUUGGAAAUGUCAUAAUUCUUCAAUUACAAAUUGUUGUAUGAAGAAAUAGGAGUUGCUUUGAACAACUCUUAGUCAAUGCAAACACUUAGUGCUUGUUUCUUUGUUAAAUGAACAAAGAACUUAAGAAGAAAGCACAAAGGCAUGGACACUUUAUGUGCCAUGUUUCUUCACUUACAAAUUGUUGUAUGAAGAAAUGAGAGUUGCCUUGUACAACUCUUGAAGGUUUGUAAUUAUGUUUAGAACAUAAUGGUUGGUUGACAAAAAUAGUCCAUUAACAUGGACUUAUAAUGAUUUUGAAUCAUUAAGUGUUGAAGUGAUAAACCACUUAAUGAGACGGAAACUAGGCAAGGACUUCACCUAAGUGCCCCUAUCCUAAUGGUUCACUAAGUUUAUUGUAAACUAUGUAGUGAACAAUAACCACAUGCUCUCCAAAAUGUUUGAUGUAUAACACAAUUGAAAUAAGUUUCAAGAGAGAUAGUGGGAGUUUAGGGACCGUGACUAUUGUAGUCAAAGGAGAAGUCAAAUGAAGAAGAUAAAAUUAACUCCAAGGGAACAAACUUUCUUUAUGAAAGGAUGGACAUUGGAAGGGGUAUUUGCAAGAAAUGUCUUGCAAAUGUCAAGAACCCACCUUUCGAAGGUGUUGUAAAUUGUUCUUGAAAAGUUCAAAACAGUUGGUUCUUCUACUUGAAUGCUUGAUUCCGUAUUAGUAACUAUGUUUUACAAUCGUUAUAAAAGUGUGACUAAUAAGAAGUAGAAGAUAUAUGAGAGAAGGAAAAGGUGCUUCACAUUCGGAAAGUGAAUCAA